UAAGGAGGAUAUCAUUAUCUCGAUCGACUACUAUGCUGACAAGUAUGUGGCCAGGGCUAAGCGCUAUGCCAAUAACGCUAUGGAGGCGCUGUACCAGGACCUGGAGAAGAAGUACUAGCCGAAGAACUGAAAUGCACGAUGGUGUUGGGAGUAAUCUUUUGGUGUCUUGUUCGUAGUGUAGCUUCUAUGUUAAGCUGAACUUGUGUGUUCAGUUUCCUAAGUAUGUGUAUUUACCUAGCUGUAGUGCAUGCUGAUGGUGAACCUAUGCUCCACUGAAUGUCUGUUUAAUUAACUAAGUGUAGAGCAUGCUGAGAUGCUGUUAGCUAUCUAGAUGGAUGGAAGAACUGUUCUAGACUUGUGAACCACUAUAUUUGGCAAC
rnacentral:lncRNA from 1 species